UAACUUACUUGGCGUGAAGGAUGUACCGUGAUCAGGAAGGCGGUUCCUUCUGGGCGAGGCCCGUGCCAUUGCACCAUGGGCUCGGGCUGGACCUUGCGAAUACCCCAAAAUGGGUAUAUCGUGCGCAUAAUUUUUGAUAGUCGGGACUGGCGUUCGCGCUGUCCCGG